rnacentral:lncRNA from 1 species
CUAAGACAUUUACUGCAACUUGCUCCGGUGCGUCAAUCGCUUCUUCCGGCGAGCUUCCGGCGAACUUCCGUCGAUCAUCCGAUGAACCCUCGGUGAUGCUCCUGCGGACUUUCGGCAAACUCCUGGACUUGCGACGAUUCACUUGGCGAGUUCCGACGAGCUUCUUUGGCAAGCUUAUGGACUUCUCGGAUUUGUUCCCGUAGAAC